CUGCUCCUCUAUCCUAGACAGUAGAGCAGAGGCAGCUAAAUUACUAAGUUGGACACAACCUGUGGUAUUUUGAGUAGCCUGGAGACAGAACCAUACCACUCCAAAUAAACAGCUGCUUAACCAGCUGGCCCAAAAACUCUACUACCCACUUAACAGAUGUUGCUAAAAACAAAGGUGAGGAAAACUCACCUGCUUUUAAUCCUAAACUUGGGAAAGAUUUUUUUUUCUUCCUACAAGGUUUACACAUAUUAUUAUCUGAAGUGUCUGACUUUUUAAUGUUUAGAUAUCAAAAACAGAUAUAAUACCAUGCAAUAUUAAUGAAUUUAAAACAUUCACAAGAGUGUGAUAGAUGAGUUUACAAAGCCAAAAAUAUUUUCAUAUUUCUAGAAAGUCAUCUAGUUGGUGUCAAAAGAUUAAAUUUUUAUGUGAAAGACUAAAUGGGUCUCUCAUAAUUACGUAUGGCAUGAAAAAUCAUGUUCUUAGUAUAUCCAACUUCAACAUAAUCAAAUAGCUCAGUAAAAGCAACCUUCAACUUACAUGUUAGUUGAAAGAACCAUAACCCAAGUCCUUUGAAAGUAGUAACUAUUAACAUUUCAGUAUUUACAUACAGUUCAGUCACAAGUGUCAAAUACUUUUAAAGAGUUAGUUCCCAGGAGGUACACAAAAUAUCGUUCCUGUGGGAAAUGAAUUCUGUGAAUUUGUACUGGAACAUAUCUCCUUCCCACUCAAUUCACCCAAACUAAAGCCCCAGGACAUUCAGAAACACUGUAAAUGGAAGCAUAGUUUGCCCAAACUGCCUCCAACCCUUAUCUCCUUGCAACAACAGUAAGGAAAACCAGCUUAAAGAAUAAUUUUCCCUAUAACUCCAAAGGCUUAUUCCCUGAUCAGGUGUUUCCACUCACUGGCCAUUCACAAAUCAGGUAUUCGUACAACAGAGACUGCCAAGACAAGUCUACUCUAGAUCACACGAACAAGCAGAGAUGUGAAAAGACAGAGCAAAGCAAUGUGCUUCAAGGUCUUAAGAUACUAUGUUCCCAUAUUUUCCCUACAGUUUAUCAAAAUAAAAAGAAAUAACCACACACUAAGUCGACAUGCAUUAGAACAGUAUUAAGGCCAUGUUAUCCAGACAUGACAAACCAUCUAAACACAUACACCUCUUCUAACAGCUCACUUACUUGUUUUUAAUUUGCAAGUAUACAACUGAGAUGGCCAAGUCCCUAAAUGCCUUUUUUCAACUUAUUAUAUAUAAUCAUCACAUAUAAUGUGAAUUAUAAUGGCUAAGAGCUGAGGCUUGCAAGUCAGACCAAUCUGGGUUCAAAUUCCAAUUCUACUACUUAGAGCUCUACGACCUUGAGCAAAAAAUCACUAAACUUGAGUUUCCUCAUCUAUAAAAUAAAGCUAAUAAUAAAACUUACAUCAUAAAGUGUCUAUGAGGAAUAAAUGUGAUAAAACUUAUAAAGUGCUCAGUAGAAUGCCUGGUAACAUGGCAAGCAUUUAGUAAAUGGCAGUUUAAAAUCAGAACACCAAAUAUGACAGUUAAAUAAAAGCAUUUGAGACCAUAAACUCAGUAUUUAUUAUGCAAAGGAGACAAACUUAAAAGUUCUACAAAAAUCCUAUUUUAAAAGGGAUUGAUGCAUGAUUAAACAAAAUAUUACCUUCAUAAUACUGUUAUUUUUCCAAAAAGACAUUAGGAAAAGGCUACAAAGGAGUUAAAUAAAAUGAAUUUUAGUCAGCACUUGUUCAAAAUUUUUAACUUUUCAUCAACCUUCACACUCAAUUUAAUAAAUAUUCCUCUUUGUUCAAAAGGAGUUUUAAAAGUUUGAACUAAAUUGCUAAGUGACAUGAAACCCUCUUAAAUGUAUAUAGUACUAAAAUUUUAUAAGACAAUAGUCUUAUAAAGCAAAAAUUAUUUAUGUGUAUGGAUUACAGCCCCUUUAAAUCAACAGUUCUGAGGUGGUUAAGUGAGUAAGUUUUAAAAACGACCUGCCUAAGCAAGGUAACAGGGAAUUACAAAAGUGAGACAGACAUAAACCUCAAAUUAUAUUAUACAAGCUAUUUCCACUGAAAAUGAAAGACGUCCAUCUGAACCGUAGGCAAUUUGGUUAUAGAAUGUUAUAUUCUCAGAAGAGAAUCUAUACGACUGGUUCUAUUCCUGUUUUCCUUAAUUCUAACAGAAUCUCAGAGCAAAGGGACAAUCUGAAAAAGCAGCACAAACCUCCCUAGCUGAGUAAGGGAGCUGGAAGACCUAAGAAAUGAAAUUGACUGCCUUAGCUUAACAGUAUGAAGCGCCGAGACAGAGGAAAACUCCCAGAACUGAGGGACAUGUUCAACAAGUACAUGACCCGAAGACUGAAAAACAGGGAGCCAAGCCAUACAAGCCCCAGAAAGAUUUGCCUUCAAAACUGAAUUCAGACAGCUGCCAUUUAUUUUCCUCAAAGCCAGUGCCCAGAGGGACCAAGGCCCUCCACCUAUACCUGACACAUCAGACGCAAUUAGAGCAGUGCUGACCAGAGCCACCACUUUUCUACUACUUACUGGGGGACACCUGCUUCUACAAGGCACUGGAAUCCUACUCUGCUUCCAAGUCCACUCACCUCCACCAGGCAGAUGUGGAAGGAAUCAGGCACAAGAAACAAUCUCUGCUAAACUUCAAACAGCACUUUGAGACACUUAAACACAGAAUCAAGGUUAAGCAGUCAUUGUGGGUGGUCAUAAGAACCUCAACUUGCUUUAUAAUAUAUUAAUAAUAUUGCUUAUAUUGCAAAAUAUCCUCUGUUCUAAAUAACAACCUUACUAAGUAAACUUUUAAGACACCAGUACCUAUGUUGAGGACUACCUGUGGCUUUAGGGUAUCAUUAAACAACUGUC